CACGAACGCUGGCGGCAGGCUUAACACAUGCAAGUCGAGCGCCCCGCAAGGGGAGCGGCAGACGGGUGAGUAACGCGUGGGAAUCUACCCAUCUCUACAGAAUAACGCAUGGAAACGUGUGCUAAUACCGUAUACGUCCUUCGGGAGAAAGAUUUAUCGGAGAUGGAUGAGCCCGCGUUGGAUUAGCUAGUUGGUGGGGUAAAGGCCUACCAAGGCGACGAUCCAUAGCUGGUCUGAGAGGAUGAUCAGCCACACUGGGACUGAGACACGGCCCAGACUCCUCCGGGAGGCAGCAGUGGGGAAUAUUGGACAAUGGGCGCAAGCCUGAUCCAGCCAUGCCGCGUGAGUGAUGAAGGCCCUAGGGUUGUAAAGCUCUUUCACCGGUGAAGAUAAUGACGGUAACCGGAGAAGAAGCCCCGGCUAACUUCGUGCCAGCCGCCGCGGUAACAC
rnacentral:rRNA from 1 species